rnacentral:rRNA from 1 species
GACGAACGCUGGCGGCGCGCUUAACACAUGCAAGUCGAACGGAAAGGCCUGCUUUCCCUUGUGGAUUGCGGGUACUCGAGUGGCGAACGGGUGAGUAACACGUGAGUGAUCUGCCCCCAACUUGGGUAUAAGCCUGGGAAGCUGGGUCUAAUUCCCGAUAGGACUGCAGGGUGGUGCCUGUGGUGGAAAACGAUUUUCUAGUGGUUGGGGAUGAGCUCGCGGCCUAUCAGCUUGUUGGUGGGGUAAUGGCCUACCAAGGCGGCGACGGGUAGCCGGCCUGAGAGGGUGGACGGCCACAUUGGGACUGAGAUACGGCCCAGACUCCUACGGGAGGCAGCAGUGGGGAAUAUUGCACAAUGGGCGGAAGCCUGAUGCAGCGACGCCGCGUGGGGGAUGACGGCCUUCGGGUUGUAAACUCCUUUCGACCGCGAGGAAGCUACCUGGUUGGAAGGGUGGUGACGGUAGUGGUAGAAGAAGCACCGGCUAACUACGUG